UUGGCUUCACUGGUACCAGGAGGAGUAGUCUUGUACCCAGUUAUGUAAGGUUCAUUGGAAACAUGGCUUCCAGAUUUAUAGCCAACAAUGUAAUUGGGUUGAUUGGCUUCACGGGUACCAGGAGGAGUAGUAGUUUUGUACCCAGUAAUGUAAGCUUGGUCGGUGUUUCCAUGGUGUGAUGGGUGGUGAUGUUGUUUGGUGGUUGUGGUUAAGUACCCGGCAAUGUAAGGCACAUCACUGGAUACUGGGGUGGCUUCACUGGUUCCAGCAGGAGUAGUCUUGUAACCAGUUAUGUAAGGUUCAUUGGAAACAUGGCUACCAGAUCUAUAGCCAACAAUGUAAUUGGGUUGAUUGGCUUCACGGGUACCAGGAGGAGUAGUAGUUUUGUACCCAGUAAUGUAAGCUUGGUCGGUGGUUCCAUGGUGUGAUGGGUGGUGAUGUUGUUUGUUUGUUGUGGUUAAGUACCCGGCAAUGUAAGGCACAUCACUGGAUACUGGGGUGGCUUCACUGGUUCCAGCAGGAGUAGUUUUGUACCCAGUUAUGUAAGGUUCAUUGGAAACAUGGCUACCAGAUUUAUAGCCAACAAUGUAAUUGGGUUGAUUGGCUUCACGGGUACCAGGAGGAGUAGUAG
rnacentral:lncRNA from 1 species